CCCGCGCGCGUGCGCGGCGCUUGGCGCGGUCAGCGCUGGGCGUAGGAAGCGUUGAGUGCGGAACACAAACAAACGCAAAAACAGUGUUUUAUGACUAUCUGAAUGCCAUACAUGGCUCCCAUAUUCGAGCUAUUGGUACAAAAGAUAGAAAUGUUUAUGCAGGCAGUGCCAGCUAUUUCUUGAGUGUCAGGAGAUACUUGAGCUGCAAGAGCACUUUGAGCUGCAAAAUCAUCUCUGGCUUUUUUCUUCUGCAAUUUAAAUGUCCUAAGCAUCUUUCAACAGCAUCACUGCAGGUCACACCACCCUCCACACAUCAGGAGACUCCGGAGGAGACCUGAUCUGCAACAGUGGAGAUGCUUGGGUGGGAACUCAGCUCCUAGAAGACACUGGAAAGGAGAAGGCAGUCCAGAGAUAACCCAAGAGACAUACUCUGCAAGAUGUUUUUCAUCAGUCCAGAGCUGGUAGCUGCAAAGAAAGGGCAUCAUACUGAUACCUGCAAGAGGAGGAAUGAAUUCAGAGUAAGUAUUUCUUUGUCUGCAAAAUCUUUUCCAAGACUUAGCUGAGAAAGAGAAAGUUUUCUACUUGUGAAAUAGAAGGAAGAUCUUAGUACCAGAUCUAUCUUUAUAAAUACAUAUCUAGUGGCUUUUUUUUUUUUUAAAUUUGAAAAUAUCACUAAAACUGCAGGAAAUAAAAAAAUCCUGCUGCUUUGAGGGUCUUCCCAUUCAGAAGACAAAUUCUGUUUCUUACUGGAAUUAUACUGCCUUCUGCAGAGUUGCUCAUCUCAACACUUGAGUGAUGGGCAGAAGCUUUUUUUAGAGAGCAUCACAGGUUCCUUUCACAAAGGUUGAGGAACAAGCCAUGAUAAUACCUCAAGGUCACAAAAAGGCCCCUUUAUAUUCUGCAGGGGCUCAGAUGGUUGAGGUUGAUGGAAAAAAUUAUUAAUCUGGGCCAUAAUAAAAUUGUGAUACAGGACUGCAGGACUCUGAAUAACUCGGCAAACUCAGUGGGUUCGUAACUCACUGAGGCCCCCUGCAUAGCUGGAACAUCGAUUUUGGCUUUUUUGUUGGCAAGAGCUGCUGCACACUAAGAGCCUCUGAGCUCUGCAGAAGCUGUUAGGUGCUUUACCCAGCCAUUGCAAACCAAUCUUAAAGGGGAAAAAAAGUUACCUGUCAUUCUUUGUUGGCUCACAGUAAGAUAUGUGAGCUGCCACGUUACAAUUAAAGGCCA